UGGGGAAUUUUGCACAAUGGGGGAAACCCUGAUGCAGCGACGCCGCGUGAUUUAGAAGGCCUUCGGGUUGUAAAAAUCUUUUCUAUGGGAAGAAAAUGACAGUACCAUAGGAAUAAGGACCGGCUAAUUACGUGCCAGCAGCCGCGGUAAUACGUAAGGUCCGAGCGUUGUCCGGAAUCAUUGGGCGUAAAGGGUACGUAGGCGGGUAAGCAAGUUACAAGUGAAAUCCUAUAGCUCAACUAUAGUAAGCUUUUAAAACUGCUCAUCUUGAGGUAUGGAAGGGAAAGUGGAAUUCCUAGUGUAGCGGUGAAAUGCGCAGAUAUUAGGAGGAAUACCGGUGGCGAAGGCGACUUUCUGGCCAUAACCUGACGCUGAGGUACGAAAGCGUGGGUAGCAAACAGG
rnacentral:rRNA from 1 species